rnacentral:rRNA from 1 species
AACGAACGCUGGCGGCGUGGAUAAGACAUGCAAGUCGAACGCUGAUUUCAGGGUAGCAAUAUUCUGAAGUCGGAGUGGCGCAAGGGUGCGUAACACGUGGGUAAUUUGCCAUGAAGCCCGGAAUAACUCGCUGAAAGGCGAGCUAAUACCGGAUGUGAUCUUUGGGAGGCAUCUCCUGAACCUCAAAGCUGGGGACCGUAAGGCCUGGCACUUCUUGAUAAGCCCGCGGCCUAUCAGCUAGUUGGUGAGGUAACGGCUCACCAAGGCUAAGACGGGUAGCUGGUCUGAGAGGACGACCAGUCACACUGGAACUGAGACACGGUCCAGACACCUACGGGUGCAGCAGUCGAGAAUUUUUCNCAAUGGGCGAAAGCCUGAAGGAGCGACGCCGC